UGUUGCUUAGCCAGUCUGACAUACACAGGGCAGUGACAGGAAAAGGCCCAUAGGAAAGAGCGUUCAUUCAGACCUGACCCAGAGACCCAGGGCUCUCACACUCUGAGACUGUGACCUGGGAUGAGAAAUACACUGGCUGCUUUACCUUGAAAUGAGCCGCAACUGUGAUCUGGUACACGUCUUUUGUGAGUGGGUGCAGCACAUCGCACAUUUGCAAUUUGGCCCAGGUGUGACAUCUUCUCAAGGGCGUCACCCAGGAAGACAUGGUCCUCAACCACCCUCUUCUAAUUUCUGCAACUGGAGAUACCGGAAGCUUUGAUGUAAGACACCUGGCUUCCAGUUUAGAACAGAUGACUUACGAAACCUGGGAGGCAUCAGCUGAUGUGACAAGUAAAGACAAAUCCUGGCACCAGACCCAAGUAAAAUCUGCUUUCAUAAAAGUUCUGUUAAAAAAUGAGUAAAAUCAAAAUA